rnacentral:rRNA from 1 species
UACGGAAGGCAGCAGUGGGGAAUAUUGCACAAUGGGCGCAAGCCUGAUGCAGCCAUGCCGCGUGUAUGAAGAAGGCCUUCGGGUUGUAAAGUACUUUCAGUCGUGAGGAAGGUGUUAAGGUUAAUAACCUUAGCAAUUGACGUUAGCGACAGAAGAAGCACCGGCUAACUCCGUGCCAGCAGCCGCGGUAAUACGGAGGGUGCGAGCGUUAAUCGGAAUUACUGGGCGUAAAGGGCACGCAGGCGGUUAAUUAAGUUGGAUGUGAAAUCCCCGAGCUUAACCUGGGAAUGGCAUUCAAGACUGGUUAGCUAGAGUCUUGUAGAGGGGGUAGAAUUCCGAUGUGUAGCGGUGAAAUGCGUAGAGAUGUGGAGGAAUACCGGUGGCGAAGGCGGCCCCUGGGACAAAGACUGACGCUCAUGUGCGAAAGCGUGGGGA